rnacentral:lncRNA from 1 species
GUUUGGGCACGAGAGGACGGGUGUGUGGGAGUGUGCAUGCUAUGACUGCAGAGCUGGACUUUGAGGCCUGGCUUGAGCUUGAAUUUCACCCUCUAUGCAACUGCUGAAUAAGACAAGCCUGCAAAUGGACAUGCACAAGAAACAAGAAGAAAUCAUGUUUAUUUCAUCUAUAUUCUGCACUAUGGAUCUGUAUUCUGUUUGCAUAACGAAAACUGUGGACUGUAAUUGUCUGAAAAUGAAUGGCAGCUUGGGCCGGGCUGGUGCACUGCUCCCAGAGUUAGUUAAGUGCUAAACUAAAAGUGCUUGACAACACUACAGGGAGCUGCAAAUCUACAAGCCCAAAAUGAGAAGAAAAACAAAUAUAUUUUCUGAACUAUGGAUUACUAUUAUUUUUGUAUGGAGAAGAAGUCAUGAUCGGAGCAUGGUAGGAAAAUUUUCAUUUCAAUAAACAUUUCUCUUG